rnacentral:ncRNA from 1 species
UAUUCGGGGGUGCUUUAAGAUUAGAGGAGGCUGAGAUUAUACCCAUAUAUACCUGAUGCAGGUAAUGCUGACGAAGGGACAGAUUA